AAAGAAAGAAAGAAAGAAGAAGAAGAAGAAGAAGAAGAAGAAAGAAGAAGGGAAGGGAGUUUGAGGUGGAAGGGAGCCCCGGUUGCGCUGCCAGUUGAAGGAAAAAAGCGUAGGUCUUCUUCCCCUCUACGCAAAGACCUCGAUUUUCCGAAGAGAAAAGAUAAAUACCCAUCCCUACCUAGUCUUCUAAUGAAAUUAGGCUAUACAAAGGGNNNNNNNNNNNNNNNNNNNNGGUGAGACGGUAGAGUUAAACAGAGAGGGAGAAACACAGAGAGAAGGAAAAGAAAAGAAAGAAAGAAGAAGAAGAAAAAGAAGAAAGAAGAAGGGAAGGGAGUUUGAGGUGGAAGGGAUCCCCGGUUGCGCUGCCAGUUGAAGGGAAAAGCGUAGGUCUUCUUCCUCCUCUACGCAAAGACCUCGAUUUUCCGAAGAGAAAAGGUAAAUACCCAUCCCUACCUAGUCUUCUAAUGAAAUUAGGCUAUACAAAGGGUGGAUGUGGUCUAGAGAGGUUGGAUAAGGGUUGUAGAGGUGGUUAAAAGAGGAAGAAUCGGAUUUCGACAAGUUUUUCCGGCACUGCGGAAAAACUGUGUCGAAGUCCCAACUUUGGUGAAUUAUUUUGGGGGUCAAUCGGCCUCCGAUGAUGAUGUAUCUUACCAUUUUGGAAACCCCUAUGAGUGUAGAACAUUGGGUAUAAAUUUCAUAAAAAUUGGAGUUCGGAAAGUGGAUCAAAAUCGGGAUGAAGUAACCCACUGUCAGUCCGGGUUACUGUUCAUCCGGAUGAAGAAGAUGAAAAAAGGAUGAUGUUGGGUCGACCCAAGGUUCAGUAAAAUUUUGGAUUAGAAGGGAUUCGAUCCUUUCGCACACCUUGACCCUAUAGCAUUGGUCCAAGGUGUGUGUGGGAUACUCUUGCAUCAUGAUUCAUGUAAAUUGAGGAUUAAUUAAUAAGAAUAAGGGAAAAAGAAAAGAUGUUAAUUAAGGGAGGAAGUUGUGUCAACUGAAACUUUUAUGCUUACAAUUGAUACGUAGGUUAUUGGGCCUUGAUACAAGAAUAAAUGUGUUAUUAAUGCAUGUUUCAGUUGGGCAAGGAACUAAGGAUCAAGAGGAAGAAGUCUCCUACUGCCUUCCAUAGAGUUUUGGAGGUGUAUCAGAACCGUGCCGUAUUGGCAGGUGAGUGGGAGUCAUGUACUUUGCACCAUGAGCAUUCUUAAUUCAUUUUCAUGAAUGUCGCCAAUUGUAAAUUGAUUCCACUUGUGCAUAUUGAUUGAUAUUGUAGUAGAUUCCUCUAUAAUCUUGUUUCUCCAUGCUUGAUUAUUUUGUACACGCAUUUGAGGAAACAUUGAGAGAAAUUACGAGGGAUAGAAGAGUAGUCAAAUUGGUUCCGAAUUGUGAAAUGACUUCUUUUGUAAAUUGAUUUCAUUUCCUCUAUUUCAAAGACUUGUAGAGCCAUUUUCAGUGGUAUAUUGAGUUGCAUUGCACUCCCAUGAUUCCUCACUCCCAACCCUGAUGUUAGUUAUAAUUGGAUCGUGGUCGAGUGAGUGGUAGUCUUGAUUAUGCUCCUUUUUAGUAGAGUAUUGGGAGGGUACAUUAUGGCAUUAUGCAUGGUUUGGCAGUAUCUACAGGACACUUAUAGUCGAUGUGGUUAGACAUCGGCCUGUGUGCACAUAGUAGCCUUCUGGGUGGGCGGAGCCCAGUCCCUUCUUAGGGGAGACAUGGCCCUAGGCGUAGGAUCGGCCGGUCCUGCGACUUAUAUAUGGCUUGCCGCCGGGCAAAGUAAAACCCCGCAAGGUGCCGUUUAGUAUACAGAUGUGAGAUGUUUCUAUGGAUUUCUGUUCUGGAUACUGGCCAGCAUAUACAUUAUCAGUAUGGUGUCUUAUCCUGCAUAUGCAUGUGACAGUGGGGAGUUGUUGUGGUUCGCCUGGGACGUAAGACCCACCUCCCGACAGCUAUCUAGUGAUGACUUCGCAUAUUGACUCCCCGAUUUGCAUAUUUCAGUGUUAUAAUCUAUUGAGCAUAUUCAUGAUGUAUCAUUCAUGUCUAUUUGAUUAUUCUAUAUAUGCUCCUGAUGAGUUGAUUAUGAUUGUAGUGAUACUGUGAUGAUUUACUCCAUAUUUCUUAUGUUGAGUUGUGUGCACCCUAUUAUUGAUGACUGCUCAUAUGCUCUUGAGAUUUCACCUCGAGCCAUGAUUAUAUCUUAUCUCAUGUGUAUAGUACUCUCUAGUCCACUCACUGAGCAUUCAUAUACUCACUCCCCAGUUUGGUAUUUUUGAUUGCAGGGCAGGUGUUGUAUAGAGAAGAGCAGGGUUAGAGAUUG
rnacentral:lncRNA from 1 species